rnacentral:rRNA from 1 species
UCGGGAAUUUUGCGCAAUGGACGAAAGUCUGACGCAGCAACGCCGCGUGAGGGAUGACGGCCUUCGGGUUGUAAACCUCUUUUGUCAGGGACGAUGAUGACGGUACCUGACGAAUAAAGCCACGGCUAACUACGUGCCAGCAGCCGCGGUAAUACGUAGGUGGCAAGCGUUGUCCGGAUUUACUGGGCGUAAAGAGCGCGCAGGCGGUCGUUCAAGUCGCGUGUGAAAGCCCCGGCUCAACUGGGAGGGUCACGCGAUACUGAUCGACUCGAAGCAGGAGAGGGUAGUGGAAUUCCCGGUGUAGUGGUGAAGUGCGUAGAUAUCGGGAGGAACACCAGUGGCGAAGGCGACUACCUGGCCUGUUCUUGACGCUGAGGCGCGAAAAGCUAGGGGAGCAAACGGGAUUAGAUACCCCGGUAGUCCUAGCCGUAAACGAUGGACACUAGGUGUUGGUGGUAU